UACGUAGGGGGCUAGCGUUGUCCGGAUUUAUUGGGCGUAAAGAGCGUGUAGGCGGCCAGGUAGGUCUGCUGUGAAAACUCGAGGCUCAACCUCGAGACGUCGGCGGAAACCAUCUGGCUAGAGUCCGGAAGAGGAGAGUGGAAUUCCUGGUGUAGCGGUGAAAUGCGUAGAGAUCGGGAGGAACACCAGUGGCGAAGGCGGCUACCUGGACCAGCAUUGACACUCAAGCACGAAAGCGUGGGGAGCAAACAGG
rnacentral:rRNA from 1 species